GCCAGGCAUGGUGGCGCGUGCCUGUAGUCCCAGCUACUUGGGAGGCUGAGUCAUGAGAAUCGCUUGAACCCGGGAGGCAUAGUUUGCAGAGAGCAGAGAUUGUGCCUCUGCAUUCCAGCCUGGGUGACAGACUGAGACUCUGUCUCAA
ensembl:misc_RNA Metazoa_SRP Metazoan signal recognition particle RNA